GGGACGUAGCGCCUGGCUUGGCCUCGCAUUGCCCUUCUGGAGUCAAAGUUUAGAACCUUGCCCUGCUUCUGUCCUCAACUGCCAGGAGUCAUUUGGAAAAGGAAGGUAUGAAGAGGCACUUAGGACUGGAAGUGAUAAAGAGGGAAUGGAAGGUGAGGACCUUAGUCCUUCUAUCUAUUCCCCUCAAGUAUGAC